rnacentral:rRNA from 1 species
GCCCUUGGGGAAUUUUCCGCAAUGGGUGAAAGCCUGACGGAGCAAUACCGCGUGAGGGAUGAAGGAUUUUGGUCUGUAAACCUCUUUUCUCAAGAAAGAAGUUCUGACGGUACUUGAGGAAUAAGCAUCGGCUAACUCCGUGCCAGCAGCCGCGGUAAUACGGGGGAUGCAAGCGUUAUCCGGAAUCAUUGGGCGUAAAGCGCCUGUAGGUUGUUUAAUAAGUCUGUUGUUAAAGACUAGGGCUCAACCCUAGAAAAGCAAUGGAAACUACUAGACUAGAGUAUGGCAGGGGUAGAGGGAAUUUCUAGUGUAGCGGUGAAAUGCGUAGAUAUUAGAAAGAACACCGGUGGCGAAAGCGCUCUACUGGACCAUUACUGACACUCAGAGGCGAAAGCUAGGGUAGCAAAAGGGAUUAGAUACCCCUGUAGUCAAGGGC